rnacentral:rRNA from 1 species
UUCCGGUUGAUCCCGCCGGACCUGACUGCUAUCGGAUUGAUACUAAGCCAUGCGAGUCUUUGCAGUAAUGCAAGGCAUACGGCUCAGUAACACGUAGUCAACUUACCCUAUGGACGAGGAUAAUCUCGGGAAACUGAGCAUAAUACUCGAUAGAUCAUAAUGCCUGGAAUGGUUUAUGGUUGAAAUGAUUCGUCGCCAUAGGAUGGGACUGCGGCCUAUCAGCUUGUUGGUGAGGUAAUGGCCCACCAAGGCGAUUACAGGUACGGGCUCUGAGAGGAGAAGCCCGGAGAUGGGUACUGAGACAAGGACCCAGGCCCUAUGGGGCGCAGCAGGCGAGAAAACUUUGCAAUGUGCGAAAGCACGACAAGGUUAAUCCGAGUGAUUUCUGCUAAAGAAAUCUUUUGCAAGUCAUAAAACCACUAGUGAAUAAGGGGUGGGCAAGUUCUGGUGUCAGCCGCCGCGGUAAAACCAGCACCUCAAGUGGUCAGGAGGAUUAUUGGGCCUAAAGCAUCCGUAGCCGGCUCUGUAAGUUUUCGGUUAAAUCUAUGUGCUCAACGCAUAGGCUGCCGAAAAUACUGCAUAGCUAGGGAGUGGGAGAGGUAGACGGUACUCGGUAGGAAGGGGUAAAAUCCUUUGAUCUAUCGAUGACCACCUGUGGCGAAGGCGGUCUACCAGAACACGUUCGACGGUGAGGGAUGAAAGCUGGGGGAGCAAACCGGAUUAGAUACCCGGGUAGUCCCAGCUGUAAACGAUGCAGACUCGAUGAUGCAUUGGCAUAUAGCCAGUGCAGUGUCGCAGGGAAGCCGUUAAGUCUGCCGCCUGGGAAGUACGUACGCAAGUAUGAAACUUAAAGGAAUUGGCGGGGGAGCACCACAAGGGGUGAAGCCUGCGGUUCAAUUGGAGUCAACGCCGGG